UUAUAAAAAUUUCAUCUAUUUUUACUAUUAAAAACUGACGUGGCUGACGGAAUAAUAAGACAGUAACUCAUGACGUGCCAUGUCCACCUCAUGCCGACGUACAAAGAAUAGUUUUGUAAUAGUAUAAAUAGAUGAAAUUUUAAUAU
rfam:Gossypium arboreum cultivar AKA8401 contig_4556_9, whole genome shotgun sequence.